rnacentral:rRNA from 1 species
GAGGGGUCCAAGCGUUGUUCGGAAUUAUUGGGCGUAAAGCGGGUGUAGGUGGCUCUAUAAGUCAGGAGUGAAAUCCCCGAGCUUAACUCGGGAAGUGCUUUUGAUACUGCAGAGCUUGAAUGUGGGAGAGGAUAAUAGAAUUCCAGGUGUAGUGGUGAAAUACGUAGAUAUCUGGAGGAAUACCGGUGGCGAAGGCGGUUAUCUGGCCCAACAUUGACACUGAGACCCGAAAGCGUGGGGAUCAAACAGGAUUAGAUACCCUGGUAGUCCACGCCGUAAACGAUGGAUACUUGUUGUUGGAGGUAUUGACCCCUUCAGUGACGAAGCUAACGCGUUAAGUAUCCCGCCUGGGGAGUACGGCCGCAAGGUUA